GCGAAAACUUUACAAUGCUGGCAACAGCGAUAAGGGAACCUCGAGUGCCAGGUUACAAAUCUGGCUGUCGAGAUGCCUAAAAAGCAUUUCAUAGCAAGGGCCGGGCAAGACCGGUGCCAGCCGCCGCGGUAACACCGGCGGCUCGAAUGGUAACCGUUAUUAUUGGGUCUAAAGGGUCUGUAGCCGGCCGGAUAAGUCUCUUGAGAAAUCUGGCAGCUUAACUGUCAGGCUUUCAGGAGAUACUGUCUGGCUCGAGGCCGGGAGAGGUGAGAGGUACUUCAGGGGUAGGGGUGAAAUCUUGUAAUCCUUGAAGGACCACCAGUGGCGAAGGCGUCUCACCAGAACGGACCUGACGGCGAGGGACGAAAGCUAGGGGCACGAACC
rnacentral:rRNA from 1 species